ACCCUAAAAUUACUUUAGUAUAUUUUACUUCCAAUAAAAUCGAAAGGGGUA
rnacentral:tRNA from 1 species